rnacentral:rRNA from 1 species
UACCGACAGAAGAAGCACCGGCUAACUCCGUGCCAGCAGCCGCGGUAAUACGGAGGGUGCAAGCGUUAAUCGGAAUUACUGGGCGUAAAGCGCACGCAGGCGGUUGAUUAAGUUAGAUGUGAAAUCCCCGGGCUUAACCUGGGAAUGGCAUCUAAGACUGGUCAGCUAGAGUCUUGUAGAGGGGGGUAGAAUUCCAUGUGUAGCGGUGAAAUGCGUAGAGAUGUGGAGGAAUACCGGUGGCGAAGGCGGCCCCCUGGACAAAGACUGACGCUCAGGUGCGAAAGCGUGGGGAGCAAACAGGAUUAGAUACCCUUAUAGUCCACGCUGUAGAUGAUGUAUAGUUGAAGGUUGUACCCUUGCCGGUUGGCUUUCGGAGCUAACGCGUAACAUCGACCGCCUGGGGAGUACGGCCGCAAGGUUAAAACUCAAAUGAAUUGACGGGGGCCCUCACAAGCGGUAAAGCAGGUGGUUUGAUUCGAUGCAACGCGGCGAACCUUAGCUACUCUUGACAUCCAGAGGAGUUAGCAGAGAUGCUUUAGUGCCAUCGGGAACUCUGA